AGCAGCCGCGGUAAUUCCAGCUCCAAUAGCGUAUAUUAAAGUUGUUGCAGUUAAAAAGCUCGUAGUUGAAUUUCGGGAUCAAUUUAUUGGUCGUGCUAUUGUACGUACUGGUAUUAUUGACUCCUACCUUCUGACGAACCAUGAUGUCAUUAAUUUGGUGUCAUGGGGAAUCAGGACUGUUACUUUGAAAAAAUUAGAGUGUUUAAAGCAGGCUCACGCUUGAAUACAUUAGCAUGGAAUAACGAAAUAGGACGUUUGAUUCUAUUUUGUUGGUUUCUAGGAUCGACGUAAUGAUUAAUAGGGAUAGUUGGGGGCAUUAGUAUUCAAUUGUCAGAGGUGAAAUUCUUGGAUUUAUUGAAGACUAACUACUGCGAAAGCAUUUGCCAAGGAUGUUUUCAUUAAUCAAGAACGAAAGUUAGGGGAUCGAAGACGAUCAGAUACCGUCGUAGUCUUAACCAUAAACUAUGCCGACUAGGGAUCGGAUGAUGUUAAUUUUUAAUGA
rnacentral:rRNA from 1 species